rnacentral:rRNA from 1 species
UACGUAGGGGGCAAGCGUUGUCCGGAAUCAUUGGGCGUAAAGAGCGUGUAGGCGGCCAGGUAGGUGGGUUGUGAAAACUGGAGGCUCAACCUUCAGAGGUCGACCCAAACCCCCUGGCUAGAGUCCGGAAGAGGAGAGUGGAAUUCCUGGUGUAGCGGUGAAAUGCGCAGAUAUCAGGAAGAACACCCGUGGCGAAGGCGGCUCUCUGGGACGGUACUGACGCUGAGACGCGAAAGCGUGGGGGAGCGAACAGG